rnacentral:lncRNA from 1 species
UAUUAUUAGGGAAUUUCAAAAUAUUCUCUAAUUCAGGAAAUAGAAAAAAAAACUAAACCUUGUCUCUUACCUCUCCCUCACAAUGUGAGCUCUCCUUGUCCAUAGGAGGCGUGCUCCACAUCUUUCUUCCCUUCCCCAAGCCGAAGGGAAGAAUCCCUUUCUCCUCGCUUCUCCAGGCAGCCUACUCCCUCCUCCCUUCCUUCCCCACUCCUCCCCAGGUGCCUCCUUGCUGCACCACACCCUUCACCAUCUCCAUGGCUGCCCUUUGAUUUAGGGCUUUGAGGAAGAAGGAAAGGACACAAGAAGAGGGAGAACAAGAAAGCUUCCCCAACUUUUCCCUUCACCAAAUCUUUGUGAUUUGACCAUAGAGGUGAGGUUCCCCAUCAUUUAUGAUCUAUCAUCCUCUAUUAGUGAUGAUUCAUGGAGCAUAGGGUUAGGACUAGAAACCUAUGUGAAGGAAUUGGGGAAAAAGUUGUUGAUGCUGCUGUUUCUCUGCGUUCAGAUCUGGAACCCAGCAAUUUCGAGUUCCUAUAUGGCACAAUUAGGUGGGGGUCAUGUGGAAUGUUUUGUAGGUAUUGUUCCCACGAUAUUUUUGAGUGGUCAGUCACUCAAUUUGGUUCAGCCGUUUAGCUGGGGCGAUAAUAACAAGUUGCUGCUCUGUUUCUGCAAAACAGCAUUUCUAUAGUUUUUACCCAUAGCUUUUCAGGAUCUUCGAGGGCUGAUAUAUAGAAUUCUCAUACUGAACGGAUCCCCCUCUCGAGGCCCCCGCAUCGCUCCCGCAAGGGUGACUCGGGCGGCGUAACCCUAGCCCGCCGCCGGCCCUCUCCCCCACCUCUCCUCUCCCUCGUCGCCACCGGAGGUGGCCGCCGGCUCGCCGCUCGGCCGCCGGUGAAGGUGGCGGCGAGGAUCUGGCCGCCCCGUUCUUCCUCGGGGGGCUUUGGAUCCGUGGCGGCGGCCUCGGCUGGUUGAUCGACGUCGGGUCUGUGGUGACCGGUGCUCGUUGGUGCUGGCCGUUCUUCCUCGGCCGCGGGGGCGGCGAGGCGGCGGCUGUGGUGCGGGCGUCUUGGCGGCGCCCGACCCAGAUCUGAAGGCCUCCGUCUACUUCAACCAGGGCUGCCUCCGAUGGUCCUGCUUUGGGCGGCCUUUGUCGCCGGAGUUGUACCUGUUUGGCGGCUGAAGGUGGGAGGUGGCUCCGGAGAAAUCCGAGGCCAGCAGUGCUGGCCACGACGGCGGCGACACCCGAGGGCGCCGUACCCUUCUUGUAGGUGCCGUCCAGGUUGCCUCCUUCCCCUCUUCCUUUCACCCAGCUCGUAUGCCGGGCGAAAGCCCAAAUCCUUGCCGGAUCGAGCGACAGCGGCGCUCCGGGCGUCGUCACCCUCUUGGGGGUGUCGUUCGUGGUGAGCUUGGGGUGGAUGUGAUGCUUUAGUUGCUUGGCGGCGGUUGGUGGCAUGGUCGGAGUUCGUCUGGUGGCGGUGCGUUGGCGCUCUGCCGCCUAUGUGCUUAGCCUCGGAGUCCCUCUUCCAAGGUGCUUGGUCUUCAACAGCCCUGCCGGACUCGGCGGAGCGGUGCUUCAUCCUACUCAUUGAUGGCGACGUAUCUCGGCGGCGUGGCGCAGUGGAGAUUCGGCGUCCGAUGUGUGGCGAUGGACUCGCGCAGGAGGACGAAGUUGUCUGGUGUCUUGGUGACAUCAAUGGCUGAGUGGCCAUACAAGGUAGAAGCCUCAAUAUUUGCUCUGAAGACGGACCUGCGGAAGAUGGCGGCGACGACACACGAGUGCGUCGGACCGGUUUGUACCCCAGACCCGGUAUGUGGCUCGGCUGGGGCUUCCGGCUUUUGAUGUUAGGCUUAGGUGUGUGGUCUGGGUAGUGGCCCAGCUAGCACCCCUUCAUCAUUUUGAUGUUAGGCUUAGAUGAGUGGUCUGGGUAGUGGCCCAGCUAGCACGCCUUCAUCAAUUGGAUAGGAGUAGCGGCAAAUGUUGCCAAGAUGGCGGAUUCAGGCAUAUUGUUGUAAUACUUUGUAAGGUCCUCGAGAAUAAUCAAUAAAGUGGCCGCAUGCAUCUCCCAGAUGCAGAGGACGGGGGUCAUCCGCCUUUUCUAAAAAAAAAAUCAAUGGUAUCGCUACCUGAUACCUUUUAGUUCAUAUAUCAAUUUUAUUUACUUACUCCCCAUGAGUAUUGGUCUUGCUAUGGAUUUCCAAAGGCGGCUACUCAUUAUUCCUGAAUCUGAAAACAGCAGAGAUGCUUUUGCUAGUUUUGACCCCCAUAAGCUCAUAAUCUGAGGUUGAAUAGUUGGAGUUAUUUGUAGAUGAGUUCCCCAUGAAUUCAUAUCCAUCUCGAUUGCAUGUUUUAGAGCUUCCUAGCUUGAGCUAUGAUUUUUUCCGUGAAGGGACAGCAAAGGGUUGCUUCCCGGGAGUGCAAUUAGGCGCGUUUUUGUGUGUGCUUUACAUAGCUUGUUUUGAUGCAACCUUUAACACUUGCAUGUAUGUCUCUACAGCAGGUUGCAGCACCAAUCCAUCGGAGAUAGCCUCGCGCCACCUCCCUCGCAACGGUUGAGGCGAGUACACCGGGCAACAAGAGCUAGAUUGCUCCCUUAAUAUUAUGUUCAUGUUCACGUUAUUCCUUUACAUUCAUGCAAUGGUCAACAAUACAACUCCCUAGUGUACAUUUCAAUACACCAUACCACUAGUAUGUGAUAGGGAUUGGUUUUUCUUGGUUCUUGAUAACAAAUCCAUCAUGAGUGAAUCUUCCAAGUUCAAGGAGUGAUCCUCGCUUCGCGAGCGUAUGGUCCUUCGGGUCCGUCCUCAUGUUAUGGUCCUCUCACUUGGUGAGGGUUGAAAAGGAGUGAGGUGAGACGUCGCCCCUCCUCAGCUUGCCGGCGAAAGCUCAGAGCCAAGUCCUUGGUCUUAUUUGGUUUAAUUGCUUCUUGUUGCAUUUUCAUGCUAUUCCAAGCAUGGGAGGUUUGAGUAUAGCAUUCACGUGUUCAAGAAUGGUUCAUAAACAUGGUCUUACUUGCUAUGUUUUACAUGCUUUGUUGUGUACUUGCUGAGUCUUUGGACUCACCCCUCGUGGACUUUGUUUUAGGUACAUCACCAUGAGGCUUUGCAAGUAGUAGGAAGGGCGUACCUUCCAUGGGUGUUCACUCACACAUUUCACACCCCUUCCAUCCACCUAGCUGAUCAUGAUA